AGCAACGGCCAUAGGUUGCAGAAAACAGAGGAUCCCACAUAACUCUAUGUUCAGGAAUUUGAGUCACUUUUUACUGGCUUAAGACCGCCAAGAAGCGGAAUUCGGCAACGCUAGCGGCGCUUACCGAGCAUCUGAAAAUCCCGAGAGAGAGCCGAGAGAGAGUCGAGAGAUAGAGAUGCCGUACUUAAGCUGCAAACCGGCCGAUUAGUAUUAACGUGGGUGACCAGUUGAGAAUCCCGGCUGCUGUUGUUU
rnacentral:rRNA from 1 species